GCAGAUGGGGAACAUCAAGGGACCCUGGAAGGUCUUUUGAUGUAAGCAGAGAAGCAAUGGCUCCAAGAAGGAUGUCAGCUAGUAUGAGGGAAGUAGAGAUGGAUGUUCAGAGAAGAGAUUUCAAUUUGGGAAUCAGAGUGCCAGAAGAAGGUAUGGGAGAUUCUCAGGAGGAUGCUCAAACUCAGGAUUCCAGAAUUUCAGGUUCAGGAGGGAUUGAUCCCUCCACUCUGAGUACAGCCGCCACUAGAAGAGUGAAGUGGGGCAGAACCCUUAGGGGUAAGAAGAAGAAGUUUUGGCAGAAUUUGAAGGCUAGUUUGGGUUUUGGUGGCUCAAGCUUUGGCUCAGGC
rnacentral:lncRNA from 1 species